UUAAGAUUAGAUUUUUCUAUUAGCCUACAAAAAUAAUAGAAUAUAUAUAAAAAAGCUUAAAAUUUAUAUGUUUUAUUAUAUUUCAAAUUCAUAACAGAUUUUUCAAAUAUAAUAGUUUAACUGAUCUAAUCAUUUUAAACGUGAUUAUUAAGAUUAAUAAACCCAACGAAUUCAAUUAAGUAACAUUUCAAAAGUCAUAGCAAGGUAGCUUGUACUGGAAA
rnacentral:rRNA from 1 species